GCCAGUGUGGUAUAGUGGUUUGAGAGUUAGACUAAGAUUCUGGAGAUCAGGGUUCAAAUUCCUACUUGGCCA